rfam:Globicatella sp. HMSC072A10 Globicatella_spHMPREF2811-1.0_Cont1324.4, whole genome shotgun sequence.
GUCGUCGUGAGGCGGAAUCUGAAGGAAGCCUAAGGCAAACUCCUGCACCGACGAAUAGAAACUUGAUAGAAGGUCUAACCAUAAGGAUAAGCUUGCCCAACAUAGUGAAGCCCAAUACUGCACGGAUUAUGGUGGGAUAAAUCAAGCGGUGAAAUGGGAGGAUGGUUAAAGCA